CCAAUAGCGUAUAUUAAAGUUGCUGCAGUUAAAAAGCUCGUAGUUGAAUUUCGGGACUAAUAUGUCGGUCGUGCCUCGGUACGUACUGGUAUUUUUGGUUUCUCCCUUCUGACGAACCUUGAUGUCAUUAAUUUGGUGUCUUGGGAAAUCAGGACUGUUACUUUGAAAAAAUUAGAGUGUUUAAAGCAGGCUCACGCUUGAAUACAUUAGCAUGGAAUAAUGAAAUAGGACGUUUGAUUCUAUUUUGUUGGUUUCUAGGAUUGACGUAAUGAUUAAUAGGGAUAGUUGGGGGCAUUAGUAUUCAAUUGUCAGAGGUGAAAUUCUUGGAUUUAUUGAAGACUGACUACUGCGAAAGCAUUUGCCAAGGAUGUUUUCAUUAAUCAAGAACGAAAGUUAGGGGAUCGAAGACGAUCAGAUACCGUCGUAGUCUUAACCAUAAACUAUGCCGACUAGGGAUCGGAUGAUGUUAAUUUUUUAAUGACUCAUUCGGCGCCUUACG
rnacentral:misc_RNA from 1 species